rnacentral:rRNA from 2 species
UUGACCUCGGAUUCAG